rnacentral:rRNA from 1 species
CCUACGGGGGGCAGCAGUGGGGAAUUUUGGACAAUGGGCGCAAGCCUGAUCCAGCCAUUCCGCGUGAGUGAAGAAGGCCUUCGGGUUGUAAAGCUCUUUCGCAAGGGAAGAAAACUUAUCCUCUAACAUAGGAUGAGGUUGACGGUACCUUGAUAAGAAGCACCGGCUAACUACGUGCCAGCAGCCGCGGUAAUACGUAGGGUGCGAGCGUUGAUCGGAAUUACUGGGCGUACAGUGGGAGCAGGCAGGUGAAAGCCCCGAGCUCAACUUGGGAACUGCGUGUGAAACUACAAGACUAGAAUAGGUCAGAGGGGGGUAGAAUUCCACGUGUAGCAGUGAAAUGCGUAGAGAUGUGGAGGAAUAUCAAUGGCGAAGGCAGCCCCCUGGGAUCAUAUUGACGCUCAUGCACGAAAGCGUGGGGAGCAAACAGGUUUAGAUACCCUGGUAGUC